rnacentral:lncRNA from 1 species
CUUCAACAAAGACGAAAGGUGUUUUGAUCAACUCUAAAACGUAAUUACAUUAACCGAACACCACGUAUAUAAAAAAAUCGAUAUCUGAAUCCUACUAUAAUUGCAGAUAAUAAACUCUAAUAUAUCUCUAAAUCUAAACUGAUCAGAAAUAAUCAAAUAAUCAGACUCAAAAUACGAUGAAUGUCAUAUAUAUUUGAUUAUUUAAUUA